rnacentral:rRNA from 1 species
CAAGUUUCGAAGAGCAAACGGUGGAUGCCUUGGCAUCUGGAGCCGAAGAAGGACGUAGUAAUCUGCGAUAAGCCUCGGGGAGCCGAUAAACGGGCUUCGAUCCGAGGAUUUCCGAAUGGGGAAACCCCGCCAGCGCGCGUGCGUAGCUGGUGACUCCCGCCUGAAUAUAUAGGGCGGGUAGAGGGAACGUGGGGAAGUGAAACAUCUCAGUACCCACAGGAAGAGAAAACAACAUGUGAUUCCGGUAGUAGUGGCGAGCGAACCCGGAAGAGGCUAAACCGGUGGUGUGUGAUACCUGGCAGGGGUUGCAUCAUCGGGGUUGUGGGACGCUGCUGGAGGCGCUGCUGAGCCUUCGACGUGAAUGUUCAGGUUAUAGGGGAACCGCUUGGAACGGCGGACCGGAGUGGGUGAGAGUCCCGUACCCGAAAUGACCUGGCUGCGUGUGGCGUAUCCCAAGUAGCACGGGGCCCGAGAAAUCCCGUGUGAAUCUGUCAGGACCACCUGAUAAGCCUAAAUACUCCCAGAUGACCGAUAGCGGACUAGUACCGUGAGGGAAAGGUGAAAAGUACCCCGGGAGGGGAGUGAAAUAGUACCUGAAACCGUUUGCUUACAAUCCGUUGGAGCAGCCUUGUUGCUGUGACAGCGUGCCUUUUGAAGAAUGAGCCUGCGAGUUAGCGAUAUGUGGCGAGGUUAACCCGUGUGGGGAAGCCGUAGCGAAAGCGAGUCUGAAUAGGGCGAUUCAGUCGCAUGUCCUAGACCCGAAGCGAAGUGAUCUAUCCAUGGCCAGGCUGAAGCGCGUGUAAGAGCGCGUGGAGGGCCGAACCCACUUAGGUUGAAAACUGAGGGGAUGAGCUGUGGAUAGGGGUGAAAGGCCAAUCAAACUUCGUGAUAGCUGGUUCUCUCCGAAAUGCAUUUAGGUGCAGCGUUGCGUGUUUCUUGCCGGAGGUAGAGCUACUGGAUGGCCGAUGGGCCCUACAAGGUUACUGACGUCAGCUAAACUCCGAAUGCCGGUAAGUGAGAGCGCAGCAGUGAGACUGUGGGGGAUAAGCUUCAUAGUCGAGAGGGAAACAACCCAGAUCACCAUCUAAGGUCCCAAAGCGCGUGCUAAGUGGAAAAGGAUGUGGAGUUGCUGUGACAACCAGGAGGUUGGCUUAGAAGCAGCCACCCUUGAAAGAGUGCGUAAUAGCUCACUGGUCAAGUGAUUCCGCGCCGACAAUGUAACGGGGCUCAAGCACGCCACCGAAGUUGUGGCAUUCAUAUAACAGGUAGGCCUUCGUGGUCCAGCCGUAUGGAUGGGUAGGAGAGCGUCGUGUGGCGAGUGAAGCGGCGGUGUGAACCAGUCGUGGAUGCCACACGAGUGAGAAUGCAGGCAUGAGUAGCGAAAGACGGGUGAGAAACCCGUCCUCCGGAAGACCAAGGGUUCCAGGGUCAAGCUAAUCUUCCCUGGGUAAGUCGGGACCUAAGGCGAGGCCGACAGGCGUAGUCGAUGGACAACGGGUUGAUAUUCCCGUACCGGCUGGUAACCGUUCAAGACCUAACCAGUAGUGCUAAGCAAACCAAAGCUUCAUGGAUCCUUCGGGUGAUGUGGGGUGGCGGCUGCGAACCCGAACUGGGGUGGUGAGCGUGAGGUGUGACGCAGGAAGGUAGGUGAUCCCGGGCGAUGGUUGUCCCGGGCUAAGCAUGUAGCCUGCGGGAUAGGCAAAUCCGUCCCGCAUAUAAGGGUGAGAUGCGAUGGGGACCCGUAUGGGGAAGUCAUUGAUCCUAUGCUGCCGAGAAAAGCAUCGACGUGAGGUUGCUAGUUGCCCGUACCCCAAACCGACACAGGUGGUCAGGUAGAGAAUACUAAGGAGCUCGAGAUAAUUAUGGUGAAGGAACUCGGCAAAAUGCCCCCGUAACUUCGGGAGAAGGGGGGCCAUCCACUUAUUAGGAUUUACUCCGAAAGGGUGUGGUGGCCGCAGAGACCAGUGGGGAACGACUGUUUACUAAAAACACAGGUCCGUGCUAACACGCAAGUGGACGUAUACGGACUGACGCCUGCCCGGUGCUGGAAGGUUAAGAGGAGCGGUUAGCGGUUUUCGGACUGCGAAGCUGUGAAUUUAAGCCCCAGUAAACGGCGGUGGUAACUAUAACCAUCCUAAGGUAGCGAAAUUCCUUGUCGGGUAAGUUCCGACCUGCACGAAUGGCGUAACGAUUCCCCAGCUGUCUCCAC